GACGGACCGUGCGAACGUUAUUCGGAAUCACUGGGCUUAAAGGGCGCGUAGGCGGGUCAUCAAGUCCGGGGUGAAAGCCCACGGCCCAACCGUGGAAGUGCCUUGGAUACUGAAGACCUCGAGGGGGAUAGGGGCGUGCGGAACUCAGGGUGGAGCGGUGAAAUGCGUAGAUAUCCUGAGGAACACCGGUGGCGAAAGCGGCGCGCUGGAUCCCUUCUGACGCUGAGGCGCGAAAGUCAGGGGAGCAAACGGG
rnacentral:rRNA from 1 species